rnacentral:rRNA from 1 species
AUCAACGCUGGGCGGCCGUGCCUAACACAUGCAAGUCGAACGAGAAAGUGGAGCAAUCCAUGAGUACAGUGGCGACCGGGUGAGUAACACGUGACUAACCUGCCCUCGAGUGGGGAAAUAACUCCGGGAAACCGGAGCUAAUACCGCAUAACAUCGCAAGAUCAAAGCCGAAAGGCGCUUGAGGAGGGGGGGGUCGCGGGCUUGAUUAGCUAGUUGGUAGGGUAAUGGCCUACCAAGGCAAAGAUCGGUAUCCGGCCCUGAGAGGGGCGCACGGACACACUGGAACUGAAACACGGUCCAGACUCCUACGGGAGGCAGCAGUGGGGAAUUUUGCGCAAUGGGGGAAACCCUGACGCAGCAACGCCGCGUGGAGGAUGAAGUCCCUUGGGACGUAAACUCCUUUCGACCCGGACGAUACUGACGGUACGGGUGGAAGAAGCACCGGCUAACUCUGUGCCAGCAGCCGCGGUAAGACAAGAGGGUGCAAGCGUUGUUCGGAAUUACUGGGCGUAAAGCGCGCGCGCAGGCGGGUUUUGUAAGUCGGAGGUGAAAUUUCACUGCUCCAACGGUGAAGCUGCUUCUGAUACUGCAAGGCCUUGAGACCGGUAGAGGCUGGUGGAAUUGCAGGUGUAGCGGUGGAAUGCGUAGAGAUCUGCAAAGAACACCCGUGGCGAAGGCGGCCAGCUGGGCCGGUUUCUGACGCUGAGGGCGCGAAAAGCGUGGGGAGCAAACAGGAUUAGAUACCCUGGUAGUCCACGCCGGUAAACGAUGGGCACUAGGUGCUGGGGGGGAGCGACCCCUUCAGUGCCGUAGCUAACGCGAAUAAGUGCCCCGCCUGGGGAGUACGGGCCGCAAGGCCUGAAACUCAAAGGAAUUGACGGGGGCCCCGCACAAGCGGUGGAGGCAUGUGGGUUUUAAUUCGAAGCAACGCGAAGAACCUUACCUAGGUUUGACAUGCAUCUGAAAUCUUCUGGAAAACAGGGGGACCUUCUUCGGAACAGAUGCCACAGGUGCUGCCAUGGCUUGUCGUCAGCUUCGUGUCGUGAGAUGUUGGGUUAAGUCCCGCAACGAGCGCAACCCUUGCCCCGUGUUACUAACAGGUAAAGCUGAGGACUCUCGGGGGACUGCCGGCGUCAAGCCGGAGGAAGGUGGGGACGACGUCAAAGUCAUCAUGGCCCUUACGCCUAGGGGCGACACACGUGCUACAAUGGCGAGGACAGAGGGCAGCAAAGCGGCAACGUGGAAGCGAAUCCCAGAAACCUCGUCUAAGUUCGGAUUGUGGGCUUGCAACUCGCCCACAUGAAGCCGGAAUCGCUAGUAAUCGCGGAUCAGCCAUGCCGCGGUGAAUACGUUUCCCGGGCCUUGUUACACACCGCCCGUCACGCCCAUGGAAGUUGGGGAGUGCCCCGAAGUCCCGCGUCUUAAACCGCAAGGAGAGAACGGCCUAAGGCAAGCUCGAUGACUGGGGGC